rnacentral:rRNA from 1 species
GAUGAACGCUGGCGGCGUGCCUAAUACAUGCAAGUCGAACGCAGAAGGAGGAGCUUGCUCUUCUGGACGAGUUGCGAACGGGUGAGUAACGCGUAGGUAACCUGCCUGUUAGCGGGGGAUAACUAUUGGAAACGAUAGCUAAUACCGCAUGACAACAGUUAUUGCAUGAUAACUGUUUAAAAGGGGCAACUGUUCCACUACCAGAUGGACCUGCGUUGUAUUAGCUAGUUGGUGUGGUAACGGCUCACCAAGGCGACGAUACAUAGUCGACGUGGGAGGGGGAUCAGCCACACUGGGACUGAGACACGGCCCAGACUCCUACGGGGGGCAGCCGUAGGGAAUCGUCAGCAAUGGGCGGAAGGCUGACCGAGAAACGCCGCGGGAGGAAAGAAGGUUUUCGGGUCGGAAAGAUCUGUUGUAUGGGAAGAACGAGUUUGGGAGUGGAAUGUUCACGCUGUGACGGUAUCUUACCAGAAAGCAACGGCUAACUACGUG